UCUUUUGCCUUUUUGUUUUGGUUAUUAUUGAAGCUUAGCUCACUCCAGUAGGUUUAGUUUACUGUUUUCAAUAUUUUCUGUUUUAUUAAAAUACUUCAAAUUACUUGAUUAGGGCUUUUCAAACUCACAACAAUUACCACGAGAUGGACAUAAGCUAUUUUAAUAAACUAUUGGAAGAAGAAUUCAAUGGAAAUGAGGCCUGUGCUACAGAAGACAUUGUGGUGACUGUGGCUUUACCAGAUGGAAAUAAUGUCAAUCACAGAAUCUUGAAAUAUCAAACAGCUGCAGAGUUGUUAAUCUCACUGUAAUGAAAAAUACAUCCUCAACGGAAAUCCCAAAGAUGAUUGGGUUGUAGUUCUUUAUACCGAGAAGAAUCAGGAGAUCAUCCUCAGAGACGAUGAAAUCAUCUAUGGUGAUGACUAUCGCUUCUUCAAGUCCAUUGAAAUAAAAUUGAAGUGUGAUCUGUUUGAGACAGAACACGCGAUAAAAAGCUGCAUUCAGAUGAAGAUACAUGUUUCUUGAGAAUUCUCUGUGAAUCGACGUCAAAUUUUUAAAAGUUUUUUCUCAGUACUACUCAACAGUGUUGACUUCAAUUAUAAUUAGAUUAUAUAAGUAUGCUCUUAAGCAGUGUUUCCCAAACUGUGUUCCGCGGGAAAGUACAGGUCCGCGAGGCCUGAACUACUGGAACAACUAAACUAGUAGAUCACCACGUAAAGUAAUCUAUCUAAAAAAAAAAAAGUGUUUCGCUAAAUACUUAGAAUGUGCGAAGUGUUCCUUUGAGGAAAAAGUUUGGGAAACGCUGGUCUUAAGCAUACGUAUAUUUCUUAUUUCUGUGGCUUUGCCUAAUUCUAACUUAUUUUUAAAACAUUAUUAGUAAAAUAAAUAAAUAAAGGGCUAUACGCAUUUUGUUUUACAUAGAUGCUGGUCUAGUUUGUAAAACAUUAUGAUGCUGAUUUUACCCGUGUCGAUUACCCAACUAAAUCUUGAUUUUGGUACGAAUAUCAAUGGAUUACUCUUCUACAAUGAAUGAACAAAAAUCCUCAAAAUAUUCAAGUAUUCUGGAUCGAUAAUUUUUUCAAAACCAUCAUUAAUUGAACCUUUUUAAAAAUUAUAUUGUUAUGGUUGUCUCCAUACAAACAUAUGGGCCUAUUUAUGUUGCUUUUCAAUAGACCAAAUAUCUAGCUUUUAGUUUUGAGCUUAUGUAGGCCUAUAUAAUAUUACAUUUUAUUAAAUCCUGCGCAAAACUUUCGCCCAAUAGUUUUACUAAGCCCUCCCUAUACAACGUAUAUUUUUAUCACUUUAAUUUACCAUUUCUUCUUUUUAAAAUUCAGCCCAUACGUAGGGUUACCCACAACAAAACAUUUACUGUAAACUUUAUUACACACAAAGCUUGUCAUUUGAAUGUACUUAAAGACAUUAUCAGACAGGGCCGGAUUUAAGGGAAGGCAGGCGGGGGCUACUGCCCAGGGACAUCCACAAGAUAAGGGGCCUCCACAAGAUAAGGGGCCUCCACAAGGAGAUUUUUAAAAUAUCCGAAUUUCGACUGGUUAGUAACUUUUUACUUUUUUUUUUAAAUAUUAUAUUUCGCAUUUUUUCCCCACAAAUCUUACGGUGUCAACUAACAGCUCUGGAUUUACGGCAGUUUUUCUACCCAGAGACUUACCCUCCGUAAAUUUAAAAAAAAAAUACAUUCUUUGAACUAAAAUAUGCAUUUAAAAAAAAGAAAAUGAGGUUAAGUUUAAAAGUACUCAAUUUUGUUCUUUUAAAAUAUGUCAUGUCUUAAGAUAUAAGUAUUAUCAUUAUUAAUAAGUGGAUUUUUUUUUAAGCUUUUGGAAACGGGGGGGGGGUGGGGUGGGGGUCCUCAAAAUCCUUUUACGGGCUCUCCACUUAGAUCCGGCCCUGUUAUCAGGCUAUAUAUAUGUAGGCCCUAUAUCUGUUUUAGAAAAUGUAUGCAUAGUUGCAUACUGUUAUGUAAAAGUUGAGCAAGUUUAUUAAAGAAGUUUUGAGAGAAUA
rnacentral:sRNA from 1 species